ACACAUGCAGUCGAGGGGUAAUAGUUCNUUCGGAAUUAGAGACCGGCGCACGGGUGCGUAACGCGUAUGCAAUCUACCUUUCACAGAGGGAUAGCCCAGAGAAAUUUGGAUUAAUACCUCAUAGUAUUAUGAAAUGGCAUCAUUUUAUAAUUAAAGUCACAACGGUGAAAGAUGAGCAUGCGUCCCAUUAGCUAGUUGGUAAGGUAACGGCUUACCAAGGCUACGAUGGGUAGGGGUCCUGAGAGGGAGAUCCCCCACACUGGUACUGAGACACGGACCAGACUCCUACGGGAGGCAGCAGUGAGGAAUAUUGGUCAAUGGGCGCAAGCCUGAACCAGCCAUGCCGCGUGCAGGAUGACGGUCCUAUGGAUUGUAAACUGCUUUUGCACAGGAAGAAACAACAUUACGUGUAAUGUCUUGACGGUACUGUGAGAAUAAGGAUCGGCUAACUCCGUGCCAGCAGCCGCGGUAAUACGGAGGAUCCAAGCGUUAUCCGGAAUCAUUGGGUUUAAAGGGUCCGUAGGCGGUUUAGUAAGUCAGUGGUGAAAGCCCAUCGCUCAACGGUGGAACGGCCAUUGAUACUGCUAGACUUGAAUUAUUAGGAAGUAACUAGAAUAUGUAGUGUAGCGGUGAAAUGCUUAGAGAUUACAUGGAAUACCAAUUGCGAAGGCAGGUUACUACUAAUGGAUUGACGCUGAUGGACGAAAGCGUGGGUAGCGAACAGGAUUAGAUACCCUGGUAGUCCACGCCGU
rnacentral:rRNA from 1 species